rnacentral:snRNA from 1 species
AAACUUGCCUGUUAGGGAGUUGUCAUGAUAACAAAGAUCAUGAAGAUCAGGAAGAUGUUUUUUCUGGGAUGAGCUCAGACAUUGUACUCUAGAUGUGCUGACCCCUGUGGUUUCUCCAAAUGUGGGGAACCCACUGCAUAAUUUGUGGUGGUUGGGGUUUGCAUUCAUACUUUUUCCUG